rnacentral:SRP_RNA from 1 species
GGGUAAGUCCUGUACGACUCGCUCCCACCGAUUCCCCCAGGACUGGAAAGUAGCAAGGGUAUGAGUGGUUGAGCAGUGCGAUGCAGAACGCUUGCCCCUU